rnacentral:piRNA from 1 species
AAAACCAGGAAAGGCUGUAGAGAAGGGCUU